CACCCUUUGCAUGGCAGUGAGCUUUCUGGCACGUGAUGUAUCGGACCUCUGCCUUGGGAAGCCGCCGCUGAGGUCGCUCUCCGCCUCCGCCACCGUCGCCGACGCCUUGGCUGCGCUCAAGAGCUCCGACCACGAGACCCACGUCACCUUGUGGAGCUUCUGCGAGAACAAGAACGAGGUUCGUUGCGUUGGAAACUGUGCAUGGUUGAUGUUAUUUGCUACCUUUGCAGAGAGGACAAUCUCUCGUCUCCAAUACUCUGGACCCACCCUUCCCCUACCUUCUUCUCCUCGGCGAUACGGAGGCGGUGGCGGUGUCGCCGGAAAAUGACGGCCCCACCAUAGAACUGCCGUCGGGCGCCGUCUACGCCGUGUACGACACGAACGGCGACGUUCAGUUCAUCGGUUUGUCGCGGAUCAUUGCCGCGAGUGUUGCGGCGCACUGGAAAUCGGUGCCGGAGCUGUGCGGUUCCGUUAAGGUUUUGCAGCGUCCUCAAAUGCUUGUUGGUGGUGAGGUGGAACGCCAACGAACAAGAGUGGUUCGAUGGCACACUGGAGUGUGGUGAUGGCACAGUCUUAUGUGCUAGAUUGAAAAAGUUUUUGUUAUUGAUAAGGUGUUUGUUGGAAUGACUAAAUCAAUUUUUUAAAUACAUUCUUAUUGAAUA